rnacentral:rRNA from 1 species
UAGGGAAUCUUCCGCAAUGGACGAAAGUCUGACGGAGCAACGCCGCGUGAGUGAAGAAGGAUUUCGGUUCGUAAAACUCUGUUGUUAGGGAAGAAAAAAUGUAUAGUAACUAUAUACAAAAGAGACGGUACCUAACCAGAAAGCCACGGCUAACUACGUGCCAGCAGCCGCGGUAAUACGAAGGUGGCAAGCGUUGUCCGGAAUUAUUGGGCGUAAAGCGCGCGCAGGUGGUUUAGAAAGUCUGAUGUGAAAGCCCACGGCUCAACCGUGGAGGGUCAUUGGAAACUAAUAAACUUGAGUGCAGGAGAGAAAAGUGGAAUUCCUAGUGUAGCGGUGAAAUGCGUAGAGAUUAGGAGGAACACCGGUGGCGAAAGCGGCUUUUUGGCCUGCAACUGACACUGAGGCGCGAAAGCGUGGGGAGCAAACAGG